rnacentral:rRNA from 1 species
AUUGAACGCUGGCGGCAGGCCUAACACAUGCAAGUCGAACGAGUGGCGGACGGGUGAGUAAUGUCUGGGAAACUGCCUGAUGGAGGGGGAUAACUACUGGAAACGGUAGCUAAUACCGCAUACCAUCGGAUGUGCCAAGAUGGGAUUAGAUAGUAGGUGGGGUAAAGGCUCACCUAGGCGACGAUCCCUAGCUGGUCUGAGAGGAUGACCAGCCACCAUGGAACUAGGACACGGUCCAGACUCCUACGGUAGGCAGCAGUGGGGAAUAUUGCACAAUGGGCGCAAGCCUGAUGCAGCCAUGCCGCGUGUAUGAAGAAGGCCUUCGGGUUGUAAAGUACUUUCAGCGGGGAGGCGUUACCCGCAGAAGAAGCACCGGCUAACUCCGUGCCAGCAGCCGCGGUAAUAC